rnacentral:rRNA from 1 species
CAAUAGCGUAUAUUUAAGUUGCUGCAGUUAAAAAGCUCGUAGUUGGAUUUCGGGUGGGAAUGGCCGGUCCGCCGUUUCGGUGUGCACUUGCUACGCCCACCUUGCUGCCGGGGACGUGCUCUUGAGUUCACGCUCGGGACACGGAGUCGGCGAGGUUACUUUGAGUAAAUUAGAGUGUUCAAAGCAGGCCUACGCUCCGAAUACAUUAGCAUGGAAUAACACGAUAGGACUCUGGCCUAUCUUGUUGGUCUGUAGGACCGGAGUAAUGAUUAAGAGGGACAGUCGGGGGCAUUUGUAUUUCAUUGUCAGAGGUGAAAUUCUUGGAUUUAUGAAAGACGAACUACUGCGAAAGCAUUUGCCAAGGAUGUUUUCAUUAA